rnacentral:sRNA from 1 species
UAGACAGAUCUUCGUUUGAGUCUUGUACAGUGUUGAAGACAUCUCUCCUCUGGCGAUUGUCAAAGCUCUUCCUAUCAGCUUCCAACGGCCAUUUCUGAAUGUACUUGUAUAGCCUUGUCGGUCCAGGGCGUUUUCAGAGAUAAGAUUGAGGCGCAAAUCUGGAACAUUCCUCACAUAUUUGAGAACCAGCUUGUGUUCGACAUUAGUCUAAAUACUAAUGUCUCCAAUACCCAUAAUCUUCGAAUAACUAGAAUUCCUUAUUCAAACAAUGCCAAAAUCUCCAGUGUUGUACGAGCUGAAAAGUUCUCUGUGGGAAGUGGCGUGAUAAGAUGCAGCUGUGUCUAUCACCCACUCUGUAUAGCUGUGGUCAGCCACGUAAAGGCAAUCCUCCUUUUCACCAGCUACGAGAAGUAUUUCAUCAGUUGUUGUGACUGUCGUGUUCUCAUCUCCCUUUGACUUACUGCUUUGGCCUUUAUCUUUCCUGCUUGGGCCAUUCCUCUUUAUGUGACCCUCC